CCACAUCACGUUGAAACACCACUUCUCGUUCGAUCACCGAACUUAAGCAACGUUCAGACUGGUCAGUACCUAGAUCGGUGUUCGCGUGGGAAUACCAGGUGCUGUAAG